UUGAUUAUACUUUACAGAAUCAUUUGUAUAGUAUGUGAGCUACUGAACUUUCUUAAGUCAGCACGCAGCAAAUACUGGAAUGACGAGUAAUAGCUUCAUCUCUUUAAAUAGAAGGUCUAAGAAGGUGUGUGCAAACACAUUCUUCUUUGUUGAUGAUCCCCAUGGCCUCCGGAGUGACAUCUGUUGAGGUGGAUUUGAAGUAUUCCGACCAGU
rnacentral:snoRNA from 1 species